rnacentral:rRNA from 1 species
UACGGAGGGUGCAAACGUUGCUCGGAAUUACUGGGCGUAAAGCGUGCGUAGACGGUUUCGUAAGUCGGGUGUGAAAUCCCCGGGCUCAACCUGGGAAUUGCAUUCGAAACUGCGAGGCUAGGGUACGGAAGAGGGAAGCGGAAUUUCUGGUGUAGCGGUGAAAUGCGUAGAUAUCAGAAGGAACAUCAGUGGCGAAAGCGGCUUCCUGGUCCAGUACCGACGUUCAGGCACGAAAGCGUGGGGAGCAAACAGG